GUACCCGUAGCUCAGUUGGAUUAGAGCGCAACCCUCCGAAGGUUGAGGUCGCAUGUUCGAUUCAUGUCGGGUACGCCA
rnacentral:tRNA from 1 species